rnacentral:rRNA from 1 species
AGUCACUGACAUUAGAUACCCGUGUAGUCCAGGGUGUAAACGCUGCAGACUUGGUGUUGGGAACCCUUCGGGGGUGCUCAGUGCCGGAGAGAAGUUGUUAAGUCUGCUACUUGGGAGUACGUCCGCAAGGAUGAAACUUAAAGGAAUUGGCGGGGGAGCACCGCAACGGGAGGAGCGUGCGGUUUAAUUGGAUUCAACGCCGAAAACUCACCAGCAGCGACUGUUACAUGAAAGUCAGGUUGAUGACCUUACUAGAUUUUCAG